rfam:Beta vulgaris subsp. vulgaris Bvchr9.sca001.con0037.1, whole genome shotgun sequence.
UUGUUUGCUGAUGCAGCAUCAUUAAGAUUCACAAUCCAUGAAGUUUGAGAGUUGGAUUGAUCCAUUAUAUGCUUUUGGAUUUGCGAAUCUUGAUGAUGCUGCAUUGGCAAUAGA